GGUGAAACUGGCAGACACGCCGGCUUUAGGUGCCGGUGCUCGAAAGAGCGUGUGGGUUCGAGUCCCUCC
rnacentral:tRNA from 1 species